CCUACGGGAGGCAGCAGUGGGGAAUAUUGCACAAUGGGGGAAACCCUGAUGCAGCGACGCCGCGUGAGUGAAGAAGUAUUUCGGUAUGUAAAGCUCUAUCAGCAGGGAAGAAAAUGACGUUACCUGAUUAAGAAGCCCCUGCUAACUACGUGCCAGCAGCCGCGGUAAUACGAAGUGGGCAAGCGUUAUGCGGAUUUACUGGGUGGAAAGGGAGCGUAGACGGCAGAACAAGUCUGGAGUGAAAUGCCCGGGCUUAACCCCGGAACUGCUUUGGAAACUGUGCAGCUAGAGUGCAGGAGAGGUAAGUGGAAUUCCUCGUGUAGCGGUGAAAUGCGUAGAUAUGAGGAGGAACACCAGUGGCGAAGGCAGCUUACUGGACUGUAACUGACGUUGAGGCUCGAAAGCGUGGGGAGCAAACAGGAUUAGAUACCCGGGUAGUC
rnacentral:rRNA from 1 species